rnacentral:rRNA from 1 species
UGACUGAGCGGCGGACGGGUGAGUAACGCGUGGGUAACCUGCCUCAUACAGGGGGAUAACAGUUAGAAAUGACUGCUAAUACCGCAUAAGACCACAGCACCGCAUGGUGCAGGGGUAAAAACUCCGGUGGUAUGAGAUGGACCCGCGUCUGAUUAGUUAGUUGGUGGGGUAACGGCCUACCAAGGCGACGAUCAGUAGCCGACCUGAGAGGGUGACCGGCCACAUUGGGACUGAGACACGGCCCAAACUCCUACGGGAGGCAGCAGUGGGGAAUAUUGCACAAUGGGGGAAACCCUGAUGCAGCGACGCCGCGUGAGCGAAGAAGUAUUUCGGUAUGUAAAGCUCUAUCAGCAGGGAAGAAAAUGACGGUACCUGACUAAGAAGCCCCGGCUAACUACGUGCCAGCAGCCGCGGUAAUACGUAGGGGUCAAGCGUUAUCCGGAUUUACUGGGUGUAAAGGGAGCGUAG